rnacentral:lncRNA from 1 species
AGAUUUUACUCGUGGAUGGGAUGUACACGUUUGAAUAAACAUGAGAACAACACACAAGCAGGACUAUAUCUAGUAGAUGGUGUUCUGUUGCUGGCAGUGGGAUCUUAUUUUGCUUUUACCCAAUAUAAUUCAGCUUUUCAGUUGGUUACUUUCUUAUUUAUGUAAUCUAUCCGAUACAGUAUAGUCUACUGUAAUUUAGAGGGGUCAGAGAUAAUUGAAGCAGUUUGAUAGUGGCUGCAAAGCAUAGUAAAGAGAUAGGCUGUAUGACCUUGAAUAAAUCAGUUAACGUCUCCUUGCUUAUGUUUUUCCUUUGGUAAAAUGGGCAUUGUGUUAAUUGUUUAUGUGCGGAUAAAAUGAGAUCUAUAGAACAGUGCCUAGCCCAUAACAAAUAAUAAAUAUUAGUUGAUAGGUACCAUGGACUGGUGAUCGAUAUAUUUUUAAAAACUUUUUAUUACUUUUUUCUGAGUGUAUUCCAGAAUUUAAGACAUUGGAAUAAAGGAUUGCACUUACUUAUUUGAUUGGACUCUAAUAGAGUACAAGUUUCAUAAUGAAUGUGCUUGUGUUCUAAUUAAUUGAGUUUUCUAGAGAGCUGGUAGUUAGGUUUGAUAAGGGGGUUAAUUGUGGGACUUAAGGAUCAUUGUUUUUGAUAUCAUGAUAAUUCAGUUCUGAAGGUCUAGAAUAUUGAAUUAACUUUAUUCAGCAUGUUCUCUAAAAAUGGUGUUUUAAUUACAUUUUGAUGUGAGUGUGUUUUGAUGUCAUUUUCCUCUUUUCAAACUAAGAGCAGAUAAAAUCAAGUUAGGUAUUUUGGUUUGUUGCCUUCCAGUGAGUUGGUAUUAUUACACAUGGGAUCUCUAAUUUAGAAACCUGUCAAGUUACAAAAGUUCAUUUGUAAGUUGUUUUGAACUUGUAAUAUAUUUCCUCUUAUUAACUGUAUUUCCGAAGCAGGAUCAGGCACAGGGCACCCCCGCCCCCUCCCGAGCCUGUUCACCCUGAAAUAUAGAUACGCAGACCUAUAGUGCCAUGGGGUCUAUUCAUCACGUGAGAAAUUGCUGUGGGAAAAUGGAUUAUAAAUGACAACCAGGAUACAAGUUCACAUUCUUCUGUCCUCCCAACCCUUUCCCUAAGCUGGGUGACCCUAGCCUCAUCUGUAGCAUGGAUGAUUUAAAUGAGCCUCCAAAUUCCUUUUUUGCCGAGGUAGGCUUUCUGAUUUUGUGUAGCAGGACGUGUGAGUAGGAGGCUUUGGAAGCGGAGCAUAGGGUGGUUUCCAGGGUGCCAGGUGUAUGGGACUGAGCACAUUUUAGGUCUUGUGUAGCAGGAUCUUGGCCAUGGGUCCUCAUGAAAGCUGAGAGUUCCAGGCCCCGUCCGGGAUGGUGAAACCACCAGCAGCCUGGAGAUUAACGGGGUGGGCACAACUGGCAACUGUAUGCCGGGCAUUUAAGUCCAAGUGUUUGUAAGUAGGUUGCCUCUAGUGCCUCUCUUAAAUUUUUUUCUAGGAGAGUUAAAUGGAUAAGGGUCAGAAGUUUCAUCAGUUUUAAAGGCCCAGUUAUUAUAAUAAUAAUUAUUCGUUUUGCUUUUACUUCAGUUUUAUGUGAGCAUGCAUUUACAUUUGAUUCUGGUCAAAGCUUGUGUGUUCUUUAAAAUAAACAGUAUGUAAAGCAUUAAAGAUCCUUUGCACUUCACUCUGCAUUCUCUGUAAAAGGAUCUGAGUAGUUUAUAGACUCCAACAAGCUUUUGGUAAAGUACAUGUUUUUGAAUCAUGUUGAACAUGUAAAGAAAGACAGACUUGAGCUUGUUAAAAAAAUUAUUCCUGUCAAGUCCCAUGCAGCUCCGCAUGUCAAACAAGACUUGAAAAUGUUUUCCCCAAGUGGCCAUGUCUUAACAAUUUAUGUUCUUGAGGGAGUUCCUUGGAAGGAACUAAACUCUGGGAGGUCACAUUUUUCUUUCAAGUUUGAUUUCUAAAGUGAAAACGAACUUCUGUUUUUUAACUUGAACUUUGAAAAAAAUUCAAUGAAGAGCUUUUAGAACUGUGCAAUGAUUGUGUUAUGUGGAACUGGGCUUCCCCAUCUCUGCAGCCAGAAAUGAAUCUUGACAGUUUCCUUUGUAGCUAUAAAAAUGAAGAGAGAAAGAGAAGAAGAGGUAAAAAAAUGCUGAGUCUGGGAAACUGUUCUAGUGACUUAAAUCUUAGCUGCAUAAAUGUCUGUGUAUAUUAAGGGGGCAGGACCAAAUAACAAUAAUCCUUUUUUUCUAGUGAAAUAGUGUCUCUCCUGGGAAAUCACUUUGCAGAUUUCUCAGGCUUUCUCAUUGAAAACACAUGACUAGCCAAAAUUUAAUAUUUAGCAGAAUUAGGAAAUAUAUAGUUUUUACAGCAAAAUUCCAACCAAAGUGGCAUAUUUAGUUUAUUCUUAAUUAUUUGGGCUAAUAGAGAAGAGAUUCUAGGAAUAAUCUAGACAUAGUUUUACUAUACUAAGUCCUUGAAAAGGAAUAUAUUUCAUGUUUUGAGAGUCAUAAUGUAGCACUGUAAGUUGAGCCAUGGUGAAGAUCUGUUUCAGGAAGAAUUUGAAAGGCUUCUGAAUUACCUGUGAUGUCCCUUUGAUAUUUUUGUCGUAACCAUUUUGUAUUAGAAAUAGACCAUAUCACCUUUCAGGUGGCACUGGAGACCUAGACAUAGCUGAAGUAUCCUGUUAAUCUACUUUGGAUUUUUAUUUCCCUGGGUUAGAGAUAAUAAUUAAAUGGUUUAAUUUUUAAAUAUUGUUAAGUGGUGGAUGGUCAGAGGAAUACCUGUGAAGGGCAAAGAAAAUCACGAGGAGGCAGUGAUAAAAUUCUUUAUUGGCCAAGAGCACCUUGAGGUAAUGUAUUGUCCUCAGCAUUCAAGGAUGUAACUGCAGAGUUCCCAUUGUGGCUCAGUGGAAACAAAUCUGACUAGCAUCCAUGAGGAUGUGGGUUUGAUCCCUGGCCUUGCUCAGUGGGUUAAGGAUCUGCCAUUGCCGUGAGCUGUGGUGUAGGCUGCAGAUGUGGCUCGGAUCUGGCAUUGCUGUAGCUGUGGUGUGGACCAGCAGCUCCAGCUCUGUUUCAGCCCCUAGCCUGGGAACCUCCGUAUGCCGCACAUGUGGCCCCAAAAGCAAAAAAA